rfam:Camelus ferus unplaced genomic scaffold scaffold1713, whole genome shotgun sequence.
GAGGGUACAGCUCAGUGGUAGAGCACAUGCUUAGCAUGCAGAAGGUCCUGGGUUCAAUCCUCAGUACCUCCA